GGUCGUCAUAGGCUUGACCCCGGGCUCUACUAUCUUGAUAUAUCAUAUAUGGUUUUGAUGUGCAAACCAUUUAUUAUACUACCAACGUGUUUGAAUUCGAGUUUCUUUCAAGCUUGAAAAAUGGUUAAAAAGGCAUCAUUUUCCCUUUCAGGAUUAUUAUUAAAGAACCUUUGUUGCUAUUCCUUCAUUCCUAGUCCUACUUUAAAUGAUUGCAACCGUGUUCUGCAUAGUGCAUUGACCAUGUGUGCUACCUUUGAUUAAUGAUAGGUAUGUUGACAUGAUUGCAAACCCUAAGGUCGCUGAUGUAUUCCGAACUAGGGCAAAGGUAUUGACUACAUGUGAUGCUAAAUCUGUAUUUUGAAACUGUUGGGCAAUUAACUACACCUAUUACUAAUUUACUAUUAUAGUUUAGUUUGGAAACUCUUAUAUCAUUUUAAGGGCCCGUUUGGCAAAGCU
rnacentral:lncRNA from 7 species